ACAAUAAUCAGGUAUAGUAGCCUAUAAAGGAACGAAUGAUUGACCCCGGUAAAAAAAAAAAAGAAAAAAGCUCUAAAUCUGUAUCUUAUUAAAAACCUAUGAACAGCUAACGUCAGUGAAACCUUACAUUGCUUCAUCUACCCUGAGAUAGAUGAAGCAAGUCCUUUAACGUCACUAUGUAAAAGCCCCUGAUGUCAGUGUUUCCUGUUGCAUAACUUUGAUGAUCAUCAUUUGAAUGAUCAUUUCCACAGAGGUCGGAGCGGGACUUCACCUUAUAAAUUACAAAUAGGGAGGAGUAACACAAUUUUUAAGAGGAUGCAUACUGUGCCACUGGAGCCCAGCAUGGCUCUCCACUUCCACCCAUUCUGGCGGACGCAUGCAGUCAAUCAGCAGCAUUGAUACUGAACUGACUGAGCUGAGGCACCAUGAAGCGGCAUCUGACAUGGACAGGACAAGUCUGAGAUCAGGUCUCUGUGUCCAAGCCAUGAAAACGUUCUAUUUCUAAGCAUCUCCACACAUCCCAAACAGAUGGAGAUCAUUUGUUUACUACCUGUUUUGCUGGGCGUAAAAACAGGCAGAGGCACGGGAGGGCGGUGGGCGAGCACAUGUAGAUGAGGAGAUGCCCAUGUGGUGGUGUAUCAGGAACAGGCACGAGGUUCAGCCAAGAGCGCCUGGCAGCACCAGCUCAUCCUUCGGCCACGUGCUCUGCUGGGGACAGAGGAACACAUGCUCGUGCCCUGUGAUAUCGGCCACCACCUGAAUCAAGUAUUCCUCUCCAUGGCAACGCAGGCUUUUAUUAUGGUGAAUUUCUCAUGGAUUACAUCCCUUGUAAAUGCUCUAAAUAACUAAAUGUUGAAAUGAACAAAAUGUUGGAGCAUUUUUUUGAGUAAUGCCAUAAAAUGAUCCUUACAUGCAACUGAUUACAAAAUGUUAUUGUGAGAGAAAAGUAAUUCACUCAGUGCAUAAACUAGUUAAUUACUAGCCCUCCCAUUCCAUGCUACUGAGUUAGAUUCGUUUUGGUGUUUUCAAGUACAGUAAAAAGUAACAUCUGACAACAAUUAAUUGAACCAUUGAGCCAUGUUUUACCCUCUGCCCCCCUGUAUAUCAAUAUUCUUAAAAAGUUAUAACACUCAGCAAAUAGUUUCAGCCUUUUUGACUAGAUAAUCAACACACAUUCUCUACGGUAUAUAUAUCAAAUAAACUAUACCAGUAGUAGGUUAAACAACAACAAAAAAAAGUUUCUAAAUGUCUGAACCUGAACUCAUUGUUAAAAAAUAUAUAUAUAUAUGUAUAUAUAAGGUAAAUUAGAUAAAUUCCUAUACCCUUUGGUCAGCACGAUUAUUUCACCUUCAUCCACUAAUGCAAAUGUUCAAAUAUACACAACAAAAGAUAUGAGCUGUGACAUUCAUGCUAAAAUGGACAGUAGCUCCCUGCAUCACCUGCCUGUUUCCAAGCAGUGUGAUGCAUGACAGAACACACAAACUAAUGAUUUAACUAAAUCACGAGUCAGCCCCUGAGCCAGAGGCAAAACCAGCAUUUUCACCGAAGGAAUUAGUUUCACGACACAAUUCAGUUUAAUCUACAGCACAUGCUUCAUCAGUCUGUUUAAAUGCUGUUAAUGAAUUCUACAUAUUAAAGCUGUAGGUUGUAAAUGUUGGCAAAUUGGGGCACAUGAUAAAUGUAAGUGAACCCUGUGUCCACUAUGUACACGUGUAAAAAAACGUCUGCUGCAAUCUACAAGACAAACAAAGACGUAAAUGUAGAUGUAAAAAUAGCAUUUAGGAAUAAGACUAAAUAAAAGCAACUGCAAAAGUCAAUCAUCUAUACAUUGUUCAGGAAAAGGUUUGUAGCCUAUUGAAUUUACUUUAGCACAGAUCUUUGUGUGGCAGUCAGGUGAAGAAGUUUCCCCUGACUGUUGAACACAAACAUUCAUCAGAAACCAAAGUCCUCCAUUAUACUGUACAGUAAAUAACAUAUAAAAAUAUAAAAAUCUGCAUGUUUGGUGACUCAUUUGCAAGAGCAUUAGCUAUAACUCUAUAUUGAUGUGCAGUAUACAACAGCUUUGACUUCUCUGUGUGGUUGAGCCAGAUUUAAAAGGAAUUAAAAAAAAAAAAAAAUCAGCAUUUAAGCGACAUUCAGAGACACACAUGGUCAGUGAUCAUCACAAACAGGCGAUAUCCAAUUUAAUAAAAGUGUUUGAGAAUGUUUAAUAAACCAUCAUCUCAUCAUCAUCCCAUUAAGUUCCUCACAGAAUUUAUACGCAGGCUGUCUCCUUCUGACUCCUUCCCUCACACAGACUGACUGAAUGAAUUGUUGAAGGGAUGGUAAAAGGAAGCAGCACUUCUACAGCGCACAAAGGGAGCCAAGAUAUAAUUUAACAUGCUGUUUUACAAGUGGCCAAAGCUAAAUCUGUGUUUACACAAGGAUUUAACUAAGACUAUUAAGCUCAGCGCUUUAAAAGAUGAUUUGCAGAGCAACAGCAAACUGCCCCACAAUCCUCCCCUGCUGCACCAUGGUGGCAGGUGAGGCGUUUGCUGGACCGCUGAAAUCUGCCAGCUACAGAGGCAAGUGCACCACUUCUGUUUUCCUUUGAUCCACGGGGGUAUGGACCAAACAUGAAGUUCUCGAACAUAUAGAAAAGUAAUGACUCAGGAUCAAAUUGAGUCUGUCGAACUGAGCGUGAGCAUGUCUUCAGCCCGUAACGUUUCUGGUUAGAAUACAGAAGGGAGACACCAACACAGGAAUACCUGUACA